rnacentral:RNase_P_RNA from 1 species
GGAGUCGGCCAGACAGUCGCGUCAUUGGAAACAAUGCCGAGGAAAGUCCGGGCUCCACAGGGCACGGUGCCAGGUAACGCCUGGGCGGCGCAAGCCGACGGAAAGUGCAACAGAAAGAUACCGCCGAACGCUCCUGCCACUGCCGCAAGGCUGGGGCAGGAGGCGUGGUAAGGGUGAAAUGGUGCGGUAAGAGCGCACCGCGAGCCUGGCAACAGGCCGGUAUGGCAAACCCCACCGGGAGCAAGACCAAAUAGGGAGGCAAUGCCGCGGCCCGCGGUGUCUCCGGGUAGGUUGCUUGAGCGUACGGGUGACCGUGCGCCUAGAGGAAUGACUGUCCACGACAGAACCCGGCUUAUCGGCCGGCUCCGCCA